rnacentral:sRNA from 1 species
CAGUAAUAUGGUUGGCUUAUUAUCCCUGGGUUGGUAGAGUGUCUGCCAUGACUCCACACCCCCAGGGGAGAGCUGGAGGGGAGAUGAAGGCUCAGGUGAGCUUAUAUCUGGUACCAUGAGGUCCAAACAGGAAGUGUUGCAAACAGAAUUGUUGCUGAGUUCUGGCAUUUUGUUAAAAUAGAAGACGGAAGAAACGGAGAUUUGUCAAGGAAUACAAAGGCUCAUUUUCCUAGGUUGAUGUCUGUGCCAGCCUCCUCUCACCCCUUCAAAAAUGACCCAAACUGUCCUGGGAAGGAAUAGCACCAAGAACUGAGGGAUGGGGAGAAACCACGGAAGCAGAUGCCACAAUUAGGUCAUAUGGUGAAGGGCUGGAAGUCAGCGUUGGGAUCAGACCAGUGCAAAGAAUAGUCUCAGAAUCUUUUAUCCCAUUCAUUUAUUCCUCCUAAAAUUCCUGCUUCAUGAAAGUCCGGGGACUCUAGGAUCCACGUGGAUGCCAUCAACAGUGGAGCGGUGCCUUGUCUGGAUGAUGUGAUGACAACUCUGGCCCUGUGUGAGAACUCAGCAGCCACACCAAAGGUAGCUGACCACUACAGUGAGCAGAUGGCUCAGUGAUUGAGGCUGUGUACCGACACGCUCCAGUCGCUGCCGGAUGCACACACAGCUGGUGAGAAGAAAACCAUUGGUGUCCGUAUAAAGCACUCCUUCGAGUAAAAAAAGUACAAAAAUCAGCAAUUCCAGAAGAAGCUGGUGGUAAUCUGUUUGCGUCAUUAGCUGUCACGACUGUAGUGUUGAUGAGCCUUUAUUGGCCACAUUUAUUACUCAAGCAUUCUGUAUUUUCAUGAUGAAUAUAGUUACAAAAAUACAUAAAAGCCCUUCCCAAACUCCAGGUAUUUUUUUCUUCUAAUCUAGAAAUGGGUCCUAUGACUGGAAAAACCAUUAUAGACUUGUUCUUGGACUCUGUGAAUAUGUCUGGAUUGCACUGCUAGCCAGAACACCUGCAGCUUGUCUCUGAACCAAUUACAUUUUUCUAUACAAAUUCCCUCAUUGUUAGGAAACAAAGUUACUUUUACCAGAGUUUCAUUGCCAGAGUCUCUCCCAGUGUUCCUUGUAUCAUUCAUUAUAACAGAAUCACGGCUGUGAAGGCUGCAAGGCAUCAUGAGAUGGAAGGAUGCAGCCAUUCUUAAACAGAGAGUCUUAGGGACCAGGGCAGCUGAGUCAGUGGCAAGAGCCAUGUAGGAAAGGCUAUGGCAAGCAAGUGAGUUUUCUGAAGAUAGCCCACUAUUUUGCAUGGCAAUGAAUGCUCUCUGAGAGUCAUGGUCCCCAGAGACUUCAUUGUAUACAGCCGAGCACAGACAGAGUUAUUGCUGUAUACAGAUAAACAAGGAGGCAGGGUUACUGCAUACAGAUAAACAGGAGUUGGGGUUAUUAUAAAUGGUUGGACAUAGAGGGAGGUUUAGGACAUCUAGGUAGGAGCACUCUCUGCAGGGGAGGCUUCUCCAUGUGGUAAGCAUCCAAGGGAGGGCAAGGUGCAAAGUCUCAGUGGGCAUUUUCUGAACACAUGAUCAACAGCAGUCAGACCAGAGGAAAGCUUUCCUCCGGGGUCUGAGACUUUGGUCCUGGACAUGGCUGGUUUGCUCCAACAAUAUGUAUCCACUCAGGACUUCACACACUCAGGCCUCCCUUCGCUCGCAACAGUACAUAGCAUUAAUGUUUUUUUUAUGGUUGUUUGCACCCUCCACACAUAUGCAGGACUGAGGAAACAUUUGGGAACUGGCUUUUUCCUUCCACUAUGUGUGUGUGUGUGUGUGUGUGUGUGAUUCAAUAUAGAGUCUCAGAAUCUUUUAUCCCAUUCAUUUAUUUCUCCUAAAAUUCCUGCUUCAUGAAAGUCCGGGGACUUUCCUCCCCAGGCAUAGAACUCAGGUUAUCAGGCUUGGUGGCAAGUGACUCUACCCACUGAACUAUCCUACCAACCCCCUAUGUGGCACUUUUGUCUGGAGGCGAGUUUGAUGUUUUUGCUGUAUAUUGGGAGAAAUCAAGUGUUGAAGCUGAGAUAAAGGGAGAUGAGAAGACAGGCUUGCAGGAGCCAGCCUUCGUAGGCUCUUGCAGACACGAUACGAAUUUUAUUCUAACCACAACAGGAAAUAAAAUUUUUGUGCAGGAAUA